UCUUUUUAAAUAAUAUCGAUCUUUAGCGCCCUUCAAUAAUUUUUCUUCUUUUUUAUCAUUAUUCUUUUAUGUCCAUUUAAGUGCUACCUGCAACACAAAGUUGAUCCCAAAUGUUAGUGUAUUUUAGGUUAAAAAGAUAAGAUUUAAACGAAUGUCGACGUUUGAUAGAUAGUCUACGCGGGCCUUGAAUUGUUACAAAAAUUCAACUUACGGAAUUGGCCUUUAAAAGUAUUUGUCUAAUAACGACCGUUCCGAAGAAUAUAUGCGUCAGCCCCCACUCCGGUUGAUUUCAGCAGAGGAGAAGACCCUGUACGACAUGGAUCUAAAAGGUCCAUCACUUGAUCCAAUGGAUUCUCGACUACCCUUGCUUACGCAUUAAUAAGGCUCAUGAGCACGACUUGCCUUGAGAGCAAAGGUUGCUCAGCCUUGCUUCAGAUAUUUAUACUGGUAAAAAGUACAGAAUCGACUUUCGAGAGCUAAAAAAUUUUUUUUCGAGUUAUUAAAACGUAUCAUACAUCUGUUAAGGUAGUAACCAUACUCUACUGUCUAUACAAUGAUUUAUUCAUUCAUUUAUGUACACUAUCGAUACAUUGGAUUAAGUCCGUCCAUCCAUCUUUCUCGUUUACUUUUAUUACGCAGUAAUAUGUCAAAUAGUACGAUUAUUCAAUUAGUAAAGAAAUCGUGGAUUCAUUUGGAGUUAUACACUAGGGUGUAAAUUUACCUUUUGUGUUGGACAGGAUGGUUAAUUACUACGUAAAUUUAAUGCUGAAGAUUCAUAACGUGGUUCUUCAAUCAUCAGCCCUUCAUAAUCGAGAGUAUUGAUGAAUAUUUACGACUGCUGUUACGUAACAAAUAUUAAUAAAUUAUAUGGCGUGAAGGCCGUCAGUUCACACGAUAUUACUCCCUCUUAAAGUCAAUAUCAAGAUGAAUUUGACUUAGUUAUCACAGCCAUAAGGAAGCAAUAUUAUACGGAAUUGAGUGUAGAGUUUAAUGAAGUAAAUAAUCAUACUUUAUCUUUCCUUGUCUAUUCCUGUGGUCGUUCCUUCCUUUUUGUUAAUCGGUUCUCAAGUCAUCGGCCUUAUCAAAUUCGGUUAUAAUUGUAAAGAAAAAUGAAACUGAAUAAAAUUAAAGAAAAUAAUUGUACAAUGGUUUUCUUCCAUUUUAUAAAUACUGAAUCAAUGAAUCUUUCAUAGUGAAGUAAUCCGAUUUUUUCAUUCUUCAUUUUGAAGAGUAAGAACAUAAAGGAGAAAUUAAAAAAUUUCUGAUUACGAUAAGCUCCCUAAGAAUUCAUUCAUUCGUCACUGGUUCUGAGAAUGAUAUAACUUCAUGAAAGAUUUUAUUAUCCGUGAUUCCGAUGUUUUGGUGUACUAUUACCCCGAAAUAAUUAUUGCUCUUAGCGGUAUGCAUGAUUUGGUAUCAAUCAUAAAUAUUUGAUGUUUUCAAUAAUCAUAAUAAGAAAACAAGAUAAUAA